GACGAACCGUGCAAACGUUAUUCGGAAUCACUGGGCUUAAAGGGUGCGUAGGCGGGCUCGUAAGUCAGGGUGAAGCCCACGGCCCAACCGUGGAAGUGCCUCUGAUACUGCGAGCCUCGAGGGGAUAGGGGCGUGCGGAACUCAGGGUGUAGCGGUGAAAUGCGCAGAUAUCAGGAGGAACACCAAUGGCGAAGGCAGCUCGCUGGGACGUGACUGACGCUGAGACGCGAAAGCGUGGGGAGCAAACAGG
rnacentral:rRNA from 1 species